rnacentral:rRNA from 1 species
GAUGAACGCUGGCGGCGUGCCUAACACAUGCAAGUCGAGCGAACAGACGAGGAGCUUUCUCCCCUGCGGUUAGCGGCGGACGGGCGAGUAACACGUGGAUAACCAUCCUAUAAUUCUGGGAUAAUUACGGGAAACAGGUUACAAUACUACCGAAUAUAUCGUACCGCUGGGAUCAAUAGUUCUACACGGCUUUGCCGUCUGUUUUAGACGGAUCCGCGCCGCAUUAGCUAGUUGGUAAGGUAACGGCUAACCAAGGCAACGAUGCGUAGCCGAGCUGAGAGGAUGAUCGGCCACACUGGAACUGAGACACGGUCCAGACUCCUACGGGAGGCAGCAGUAGGGAAUCUUCGGCAAUGGGCGAAAGCUUGACGGAGCAACGCCGCGUGAGUGAUGAAGGCCUUCGGAUCGUAAAGCUCUGUUAUUGGGAAAGAAAAGAUGUGUAAGAAACUAUGGACGUCUUGACGGUACCUAAUCAGAAAGCCACGGCUAACUUCGUG